AGGAUUUUAAAAGGGACGCCGAAGAUGCCUGCUUUCUUCUCAAAAGUACAGGAUCUGAGUACUUCAUCCUCCACUGAAAAUAGACUAUGAUUCCUCUGCAGUAUGUCACCAUGGAUGCUAUGGCCCCAAAGAACUUGUUGAUUACAUUGUUGGCACACUCUGGUACUCUUGGACCUCUUCACUGACCUGAGCCUCAGAGGAGCUCUUUGGUGGAUGUCAUCAUGCUCUGAUGUCCUGUCAGCUUGCCUGCAGGUGGGCAUUCAAAGGAAGCCGUUCAAGGCAGAACAUGGAUAGGUUUGCCUCAAAUUGCCUCAUUUGAGCUUCAUGGUGGUUAUUGACCAAACAAAAAAACAUCUUUCAGCUGGCCCUUAUUGCCACUGAGCAGAACAAUGAACCUAUAAGAGCAGCCCAGUCUUCUAAAAAUGUUGUUCCCAUACAACUAAACUGCCUUCCUAAUUACACUUAGAAGGAAACGUGUUUUUUCCGGUUUGUUUGUUUUGAUGUAUCACAAAUAUGUUUCUAAUCAAAAUCCACGGUUGGGAGGAAGUCAGGGUGGCCAAACAAAUAUGGAACUUUCACCCAGGAGACUGCUGUAUGUGUCUCAAGAGAAACCAAAAGUAACUUACAUACAUAAGUUAGCUUACGUCACAUACUUAUCUUACUUUAAGUACGUAACAUACUUAACUUACGUACGUAACUUAAGUUACUAACAAACAAAAUUAUUCCUUUAACUAAACAUAUAGGUUUAUUUAAAUUUACAAGAACCCUAAAGAAACACUUUUAACCACACAAUUUAACCACAUCUCUUCAUUGACUUGAUACUUCUUAGUAAAUAUAAUAAAAUUAAGUUAUACUAUGUAAAUGCUCUGUAUCGUAUAAACUCAUAAUCAGUGACGCAAUGUCUGAAUGUGAUAUAACCAUGCUGUAACCAAGAAUGAAAAAGAAUACUUAGAUGCAGAUGCAGAGUGGAAAAGGGUUCAGAAAACUUAAUUUAGAGCCUUGUCUAGAUACACAAAGUGCCCAUAGCUUUGUUGACGCCAGAUCUUACUAAAAUGAGCAGAGUGGAUCUAGACAUCCAUGCAGCACCAGUAUACGGAUCCUUCCUUCUUUGUGCCAAUUGUUUGAAAUUCCUAUCAAACUUCAUCUCUAGUCGAACGAUGUAAACUGAGUGUUGUUUGGCACACAGCCCAUCUUGAUCAUUAUUUAAUAUUACAUAUUCAUUAAAACUGCUGAGCUUCUGUUCUCCAGUUCAUGUUGCUGUUUCACUCAGCCGUUCAUUUUUUACCUUAAGCUCAUAGCUAUGUACUGAUGGCCAUCUGCUGCUUGUCAGCACUACAUAUUAUUUGUAUAUUUCAAUCCUAGAAGUUUUUGUGAUUCUGAAAUGUAUAAGGUAAUAAUGCUUUGCUGUGAAGAAGAUAUACAGUAUCUUACUGUAUAUCACAUGGAUUGCUAAGUUUUGAAGAAUCGCGAUUUACUAUAUACAAUAUCAUCUCUGCUAGUACAGUACGUGUAUUUUGUUAGUGAAUGGUCAGAUGGUGGCUGGUGUCAUACACACUGGCCCAUAUCAACACAUUCAUGUAGAUUCUGCAUAAUAGCUGGUGUGAGGGCUAGCUAUCCUUUCGAGAUUAUUCAAUUUCAGUGCCUAAACUAUGCAAAAAUGUCAAGUGAUGAUUUAGAUCAGAAAAUAUGAUGAUAUAUGAUCAAAGAAUACUAAGAAGAAUCCAUCCAUGAUAUGUGGCUGAAAGCUCCGGGAAAAUUUCCAGUAAAAGAAGCUUGAUCAAAUUCAGUGUGAUUUUUUUUAUACUUGAUAGUCAAUACUUAAUUGAUUUUGGUCUAAAUGCAAACAAGUUUUGUCGUUCAAUAC